UGGGGAAUCUCGCGCAAUGGACGAAAGUCUGACGCAGCGACGCCGCGUGGGUGAUGAAGGCCUUCGGGUUGUAAAGCCCUGUGGGGCGGGACGAAUUAGUAGAAGCUAAUACCUUCUAUGAUGACGGUACCGCCUUAGCAAGCACCGGCUAACUCUGUGCCAGCAGCCGCGGUAAGACAGAGGGUGCAAACGUUGUUCGGAAUUACUGGGCGUAAAGCGUGUGUAGGCGGUCAUGUAGGUCGGAUGUGAAAGCCCCAGGCUCAACCUGGGAAGUGCACCCGAAACCGCACGACUGGAGUAUCGGAGAGGUUGGUGGAAUUCUCGGUGUAGAGGUGAAAUUCGUAGAUAUCGAGAGGAACACCGGCGGCGAAGGCGGCCAACUGGACGAAUACUGACGCUGAGACACGAAAGCGUGGGGAGCAAACAGGAUUAGAUACCCUGGUAGUCCACGCCGUAAACGAUGGGUGCUAGGUGUCACGGGCUUUGACUCCUGUGGUGCCGUAGCUAACGCAUUAAGCACCCCGCCUGGGAAGUACGGCCGCAAGGCUA
rnacentral:rRNA from 1 species